UGGGGAAUAUUGCACAAUGGGCGCAAGCCUGAUGCAGCGACGCCGCGUGAGGGAUGACGGCCUUCGGGUUGUAAACCUCUUUCACCAGGGACGAAGCGAAAGUGACGGUACCUGGAGAAGAAGCACCGGCCAACUACGUGCCAGCAGCCGCGGUAAUACGUAGGGUGCGAGCGUUGUCCGGAAUUACUGGGCGUAAAGAGCUCGUAGGCGGUUUGUCGCGUCGUUCGUGAAAACUUGGGGCUUAACUCCAAGCGUGCGGGCGAUACGGGCAGACUUGAGUACUACAGGGGAGACUGGAAUUCCUGGUGUAGCGGUGAAAUGCGCAGAUAUCAGGAGGAACACCGGUGGCGAAGGCGGGUCUCUGGGUAGUAACUGACGCUGAGGAGCGAAAGCGUGGGUAGCGAACA
rnacentral:rRNA from 1 species